CUGCCCGCUGCCCGCUCCGCCGCACGUGACCGCGCCCUGGCGGCCUCCCGCGCCAUAGACGCGAGCGCGAACCGAGGGUAGAGCGCCCCCAGCGAAGGAGAGGAAGUCAGACAUGUCGGGCUAGGGCGGGACUUCCGUAGCAUCCGCCUCUUCCCUCAUUCCCCGAGGGAAGGGACGGUUGUUGCCCGUAACUAAGAUGGCGCCGCCGUAGGCGGUGUGGAGCUCGUCUGCUUUAUUUCUGUAGCACAGCCUGGUGGAUGUGGUGAUGAUGAUGGUGAAGGAGAAGAGGGUAGUGUACUGUUUUCUUUGUCGUCUUCCCACUUCAUCAUGUGCACUCACGCAUAUGGAUUGGCCUCCUUUAGCUAAAAUGUCAUCUUGUAUUAGUCCAUUUCACAAGUGCAGAGACCAGCAGACUGUAGGAUAUUUAGAGAAUGAAAUUUCUCUUCUGUGAAAAUUAUUCCACUUUGCAUGGACUAAUUCAAUGUUAAUAGGGCCAGAGAAAACCAAAGGAUGGCUUGAAUGGAUGGAGAGAGGAAGACCUGGUUUGCAAUCUUAGCCUUAAGAACAGUAUAAAAUUGUAUUUUAAAAAUUUCAAUUGUACAUAUGGAAAAAUAGUUCACAAUGAAGGUGAUGAGACACUGGGGCGGGUUGCCCAGAAACGUUGUGGAAUCUCUGCCGUGGAGAUAUUCAAGACUCAGCUGCACACAGCCCUGAGUAAUCUGCUCUGAUUUUGAAGCUGGCCCUUCUUUGAGCAGAAGGUUGGACUGGAUGACCUCCCUGAUUCUACGAAUUAAUUUUCUCAGGAUCAGGAAUCCCACUUUCACAUUCCCACCUUUAGUUAAAUAGAAUAUAUAUUUCCGUAGAGCUAGACUUUUUGAGUUAACUGCGAUACGCAAAAUCAUGCUCCUCCUUUCUCUGCCUCCAAACUAGAUUUUUGCACAAAGGGACAGCUUCUAAGGCAAGUUCUUCAAUGAAGAAUAACUAUCCAACCUGGAACCUGGAUAAAAUAUUUACCUAAUGUGUGCUUUUCUGCUUCAGUCAAUUCAGAUAAACACCAGCACAAGAAUGCAGAGACAGGGGCCCAGAAUGAGCAAUACCUGUAAUCUGGUAUGACUAUGUAAAGAAGCAUUCAUGUAUCAAAAAGGAUACACAGUAGACUCAAGCUAUAUAUAAAUAUCUACUAGAAAAAGUAAGGUAGCAAGGAAAAAGAAAAUUACACUGGUAGCAGUCAGAUGAUACAUGUAAUGAAAGGGUUUAUACCUAAUCUAAUGUUGGAAUAUUGUAUGAGAGAGAAAAACAACUGGCAUUUUUUCACACUAAUGCAAAGGACUAGGAAUUACUGUUGUAGGUUAUGAAAGUGGAUCUUCUAGAAAUAAAAUGGUGGAAUAGCAAUAUUAAAUCUUGGAUCACAAAACAUCAACUGAAAAUCAUUUGCUGUGCAAGGAAGUCAGAAAUAAAGACUCUGCAUGAUGGUGAGAUACUACUGAAUACUGAGUAGAUGGCAUACUUGAAAGGAAGAGGAGUUGGUUCUAGACAACUAAAAUCUGGACAUUGUCCUGAGGCUUAAACUCCUAUGAUGACUCAAAUCAUGUGUAACCAAAAGGAUUUUAACUUUUUGCAGAACACUAGAACAAUGGUAUUGCCAACUAGAAUAAAUAAAAUAAUAGAAUAGAGUUGGUUCAAAUUCACUUUGUAGCAGAAAUUUAAAAGACAGUAUUGCUUACAGAGCAAUCAUAUUAGUCUAAUUACAGUCUAAUUGGUUAGGGGUGUCUUGAGUACAUAAUAUUAUUAGAAAGAUAAAUUCUGUGAGGUACUUUCUCACAAUGGCUCAAUUUCAUUUCCGAGGUACAAGUUGAAGAACAAAUUAUUAAUUACUCCUAGGUGUGAAAGUUAACAGAGUUCUUCACUGAAGAGUUUCUAGUUCAACAAAAAUAAUAUAUUUUAUUAAACUAGAUUUUGAUAAGCAGUUAGGACACUAUGGAAGAGCUGAAUACAGUAGCUAUGAAUUUAUUCAGUUUAAAAUAUAAAAAGGAAACAGACAAAUAUUUAGGGUCUUGUCUUCAAAAGGGUACAUUUUGAGAAAUGUAGGAAACUAUUCAAAGUUGAGAUGUAAACCUGUUAGUCAUCUGCUAAUGACAUAUCUGAUGAAAUAAGUUUGCAAGGUUUUUCAAGAGGAGGUAGAAUUGAAAUAUUGUACAAGAAAAAUUAGCCUUGAAAAAUGAGAUGAUAGAAAUGAGGAAAAAGUAAUAACACAAAAUGCAAGUUCAUAUAUUGAGGGAUCAGCUACAAAAGUCUCCUACAACAUUUGAGAUCAUCUGUAAGAAGUGAAGGACCUAGAUAUACUAGGCAAGCACAGGACAGCUAUGAGUCACUGACGUGAUGUGAGCCAAGAAAAAGACAGAUGCAAUCAGACAAGGUAUUUCUGAGGCUUCAAGAAAUGCUGAUGCUGGUUAUAGAAGGGAGUAUUCUCAAGGGAAUGAGCUCAUUUUGUAGACGGAUGAGCUGUGUUCAAAAUCAGAUGUACUAAGAUUAGAGUUUUAAUAGGAAUUUAUUAAUUUGUUUAAAAAUAAUUAAAAGGAGUUGAUUUUACCAUUUGUGCUGUUUCUUCCUGUUCUUUCUGUUUCUUCCUGUUCCUUCAUUGCUGAGGAAAUUUUGUCCAUUUCAGUAAUAUGAGAAAUAAACUUUUCAAUUGAUUUUCUUUCCUUGUUUCUUUCUUUGCAGGCUGAAAACAAGCAAAUAAAAUGUGCUUUUUGGAAUUAAAGAUCUUGUGUUGGA